GACGAACGCUGGCGGCGUGCUUAACACAUGCAAGUCGAACGGAAAGGCCCUGCUUUUGUGGGGUGCUCGAGUGGCGAACGGGUGAGUAACACGUGAGUAACCUGCCCUUGACUUUGGGAUAACUUCAGGAAACUGGGGCUAAUACCGGAUAGGAGCUCCUGCUGCAUGGUGGGGGUUGGAAAGUUUCGGCGGUUGGGGAUGGACUGGCGGCUUAUCAGCUUGUUGGUGGGGUAGUGGCUUACCAAGGCUUUGACGGGUAGCCGGCCUGAGAGGGUGACCGGCCACAUUGGGCCUGAGAUACGGCCCAGACUCCUACGGGAGGCAGGAGUGGGGAAUAUUGCACUAUGGGCGGAAGCCUGAUGCAGCAACGCAGCGUGGGGGAUGACGUCCUUCGGGUUGUAAACCGCUUUCGCCUGUGACGAAGCGUGAGUGACGGUAAUGGGUAAAGAAGCACCGGCUAACUACGUG
rnacentral:rRNA from 1 species